GAUUGAACGCUGGCGGGCAUGCUUUACACAUGCAAGUCGAACGGGCUGGGGGCAACUCCAGUCAGUGGCGAACGGGUGAGUAAUACAUCGGAACGUACCUCGUAGUGGGGGAUAACUCGGCGAAAGCCCGUAGCUAAUACCGCAUAUGCUCUACGGAGGAAAGCAGGGGACCGUAACAGGCCUUGUGCUAUGGGAGCGGCCGAUGUCCGAUUAGGCUAGUUGGUGAGGUAAUGGCNCACCAAGGCGACGAUCGGUAGCUGGUCUGAGAGGAUGAUCAGCCACACUGGGACUGAGACACGGCCCAGACUCCUACGGGA
rnacentral:rRNA from 1 species